CUCCCACCAAACCGCUGCGUCGCGCGCCGAGCUUCACAACUACAGAAACCCAGAGGGGUCAAAAGGCGGUACUUCGCGAAACAGAGGGCGCAUGAAGAGGAGACAAGGGAGGGAGCAGAAUGGUCUUUUAAAAACUGCUUCACUGCACUAAUGUUCCUGAAACCUGAGCUCUUAUUGGAUCUGAAGGGCAUUAUAAGACAAGGCAUCCUCCACCCUCUACCCCUGUUUAAAGGGAUUGCUUUCAUUCAGGGAAGGAGAGGCGAAAAAGCCUUCCAGCAGAGCCCACUCCGGCUCAGCUCUUCUCCCCGUGUGCCUGUCCCCUUGUCUCUGCUUGCCAGGCCAGUUGACCAACCCUCCGACAAACCAGCCACCUGCCCGCCUGGACGGCUCUCUCGCGCCCAGGCUUGUUACUGUGAGGUAGUCAGACGCAGCUAGCUGCCUCGUGGCCUCUGACAUUUGCGUGGGAAAAAAAAAAUGAGGAUGUGCUCAACUUUCCUCUCCUACACCUGCGAUCGCGCUCUGGGGUCUCAAGAAACCCCCCCACCCUGGAACCAGUGCAGGCCUCAUGUUAUAUGCAGGGAACACAGCAACCUCUUCUGGCCAAAAGUGAACGCAGCAGAGAGUCUGUGCUGAAGCAAGAAUAUAACAAGUCCCGGCAGCGGUAGGCGCUGUUCCCGACCCAUGGAGGGCUGCAUCAGUACCAUGGCAGGAUUGUGAUGGGAGUGUCCUUUGAUGGAUGUUGGCCAGGUGUUCUUCAUUGCCAGGACUCCAACACCCUCUUCCUGACCAGGAGGGAAAUACAGCGUACCAGAAUGAUGCCAACAAUAUGCAUUGUUGGAGUCAGAGUGGGUGGUCAGUUGUGUGCAUGGGGACAUUCAGCGGCAUCCAGUAGUGCUGCUGCAGAUAACGUUUAAGGGAAAAAAACACACAGAGUAAAGGUUGCAGCCCAGCAACGUCAGGAGCUCUUGUACAACAGAGGGACUAGACUUAGGCAACUGCUCCCUUCUUUCAGCUCAAAAUUACUGUUGCUGAGUGGUUGACGUCCACUAUGAGGUGGUGCGGUCGGACAGGGGAGGAGCCACAGAGAUAUUUCACCUCAACCUCCUCAAAGCCAAAGUAGGCUGCAUAUGCUGCUGCCUACUUGAUGCCGACAUCAACUAUUUUCGCUAUUACCUCCUGGGACGGUCAUUAACCGCCUGCUCAGAUCACACCCCGCUGUAGAGGCUCCACCGCUUUAUGUAUGGAUGCCAACACCCGUAUCAACCUGUGAUAUCUGGCUUUGCAGCCCUUUAAGUUGAAGGUAAUCCAUAGGCCAGGGGCACAGAUUGCUCUGGCCAAUUUUCUCUCCCACUGGUGGGGGGGUGUAGGUGAGUAGGCUUAGCCGGAUGGGUCCCCAGCAUCAGUAGAGGUGGAGGUGUGUGGCGAGAUGUAAUCUGCGGCUCCACUGCAGGGAAGGGGUGGUGCAGUGGGGUGGAGGGCCAGUGGAGGCUGGCAGGACAGCUGAAAGCAAUUCAUUAAUUACGCUCUCCCUAUUUUAGUGACGCCAAGACCUGGAGGAAAAAAGAACAGGUGGAGACAGGAAGCUGUUGGGACGAGGGGCACAAAUAAUUGUAAAUAAAAAACACUGUCACAGGUACGCUGACUGUCUUAGCUCCUCACUGAGGUCACACAGUCUUUCAAAAGUCGUUUUGCAGACUUAUUCAGUUUUAAAGCCUCACCUAGAAGAUUUACAGCUACAUUUGACAAAAUCAAUCUGCCGCUUAACCUUUAGCCGUACUCCAGGCAAUGUGGAGUGUUCUUUUGUCUUACACAGGUGUAGCACAGUCAAGUGAAAUCCUUUGACCACUGAAUGAGAACUUAAUGCUGUACCCAAGUGACUGAAACAGCAGUGAUUUAGCUUCUGUCCACUGACAUAUUGAAGGGACUAAAUAUGAAUUUUACAUUUUAUACUUGUACUUGUAUUUCACCUUGGGGAGAUGUUUUUUCACUCUGACAUUAAGGGUCAGUUUUUGAUUAGUCAUUGCCAAAAAGAAGAGCCAUUAUAAUAUAUCACUUAUAUAUUUUGUACUGAAAAAUGAUUAUGUGUGAUAUUACAGUAAAUCAUGAAAACCUUUAAAUUAACUUUUUUUUUUUAGUAAGGAGUGAGAAAGAGAGACUCGCCUGACUCACCUGUACAGCUGGCAUUGAGUUCUUUGAACUCCAGCAGCCUCCCACACUUCUCUCCACUAUGCUACACUUUUCUCUUCUCCUGCUGUGACAGCUUUGGCCUUUAAGCUCAGCACUGUUAUCACAUUUUAACAAGCGCGUCAUUAACGUUGUCUCGCCGAGCUUUCUGUCGCAGUGACAGACAGCUGUUUUGACACACCCUGCCUCUUGCAGUUGCAGGGCUGACUUACAAUAAUGCAUUACUAAAAAUGUCAGUGGCUCCAUUUAACUUUAUUCGUUUUAAAGCCAGUGGUAAAGGUUUUUAUUACCCACUUUAUUGAACACCUUACGGUGAGAUGGUGCUGUCUAAAUUGUAUUAUAUAUUAUAAACUUCUACAAGUAUGUGGCAGCAGCUGCACAGGAAUGUAGAGCACACAUUUGCUCUUUAUGGUACACAUUCCAAUGGAAAUGACUGUACAGAUAAUGUGCUUGUUCUUAUUUGUGGAUCACUGCGCACUCACAUGUAUGACCACGCUGGCCAAAUGAUAGUCUGCUCUGUUCACCUUUUGAAUGCCAAUAUUUCUUAAGCAUGCCUUACCUGAGGAUAGAGUUACAGUGCACAUUAAGUGAUCUUUAACCUCAGAUCUCUGGCCAACAAGCAAUAAUCCAACACCAUCUUACUCUUUUCAGUUUCUAAUGCUGUUCUAUAACAGUUCCAUUUCUGAAAUUACUCUAAUGUAAUGGUAGGCUGUUAGUUUUUAACAUAAAGCUACCAUUCUUGCAAUAUUAUAGCCACUUGUGAAGAAGGUUUAUGUGUCUAGGCAGUUCUACACUUUUUGAUAAUACCCGUCCUCAAUCUUGUCUGUGUGUUCCUUUUAUGUAAUGUAAUUAUGAACAGCAAUACCCAUCAAUGUACCAGCUGUCUCACUACAAUAUCUCCUUAGUCUGGACUUUCUCACUGACCUUGAAGAUGUCGGUAGUCUAAAAAAAAAAAAUAAGUAAGGGUAAAAUGGAAUCAUCAAACAAAAUCCUCUUUAAAAAAGCCACAAAGCAUGCGUCAUCCCAUUUCAACAACAUAUUAAAGAUUUUGCUAUGGAGCAAACUCCGUUUCUCCAAGUACCCAAAAUGAAUUACAUUGUGGAUUAUCGCGUAAUUAUGGAUCUUUCCAAAGACUGAUAGAACCGGAAAAUUGAGUUCUGAAUAUUUCAUAAUGCAUAGCACCAUCUUUGUAGAGGAAAUUAUUUAGGGAUAGCAUGCUCAUUUGCAGAAUGGAUAAAGGUUCAUUGCGAGUCACUAGAGUGCAGUAAUUGGAAAGCUCCUGUGAUUCAAAGGAAUCAUUCAGAGAUGAGCGUGUCUCCUGGAUAGCUGUGUAGUACUCCAUUAAUCUUCAGUCACACACCCAAAACUAUCAGCUACCAUCCAAACCUAUCAAGCUGUUGGCAUAUACCAUAUUUGUGCCGCAUAUAAAUCACAGUUAUACAACAAAUGUGAUAAAUGUGCACUUUAUCCUUUUUUUAUCCCUCUGCAGAUGAGCUCUGGCACCCUCCCAACCUCAGCCACCAUGAACACAGCAAGGAAACGUUUCAAAGUUGGAAUCCUGAUACUUCUCAGUGGGAAAAUAUCUGAAAAGAACUGACUGUCAGUCAAUGUAGGUAAGUAACUGAAUGAAGAUUUGAAAAAAGGCAGAAGAAGAAAAAAUGCAUGAAGAAAAGAAAAGUGAGGUGCAAGUGGAGAUGAAGACGGGAAAAGACUGGAGUCAAAGACUAAGACGGGAGAGAUGGCGAUCGAGGCGAAAGAAAGCAAGACUCUGCUCCGACUGUCCUGGGUCACAUGUUUUUAUAUUAAUGGUUGAGGUCUUGUGUCAGGUCAGGGAGAGCUAAUCUUAACUCUCUUGCUGGAGGGCACCUUCAACCCACAGGGCAUCUGGGUAUCUCGUCAACCCAACAGUGAACCACCGGGCUCUUCUCUUAGCAUGCAAAUGAGACAAGAACAAAUGUCCCAUCACUUCUGGGGCUCCAUGUCCCAAAGUGCUUAACACUCUUCCUGUCAACCCCCCACACCCCACCCCACUCCAGCUGCUUCAAAAAGCCCCUCCUGCACAUCCUUCACUCUUUUUUCUCCUCCCUCUGAUGUUCUUUAAAUGAGCUUCCCAACUCCACUUCUUUCUCACAAUUCAAUUUUACAAGGCCAUUAUCCUGGGUGUAAUGUGGAGGUUAAAUAUAUCGGGGCAGACAUUAUGUGAAAAUAAUUAGUGCUAAUGAAUAAUGCACUCAUUCAGCUGAUGAAGGAUGGUUGUCAGGGUAAUGGAGUACAAGGGAGGGGCCCCUCUGACAAAUGAAAUUAAAAUAUUUAAACACUGUUUUACGAUAUUAUCAGGCCCUCACACUCUUUCCCUGUUACGCACUCGCUAUAUGGAGCAGGCGAGCCUCCAUGUGACAUGAUAGUUGUGCCAUUACUCACGCACAACAUCUGUCUCACCAGAGGCCCUGAUACAAGGCCCAUGCUUUUGCAGUACCUCACACCACAGCUCAUCAUCCCUGCCCUGAUAAUCACGCUGAUGGCUUUAGAGAUGGCGCUCUUAUUGACAGUCGAUGUCACCCUGCCAGAUUAUAUUUUCUUCACUUUAUUUAUUGCCACUGCACUCAUUCUGCCUCUUAGGAUCUCAUUCUGCGCCCAUCAUGUGACAAUGAAGGAUGUAGGUUUUAAAUUGCCUGGUUUACAGCGCUCUCCCAGUCAAUUGGCCUGUUCCAAUCAAUAAUGGUAGACUAAGCACUCCGUGACAGAUAAAUGGUAAAGCAUCAACACAACCUUAUUAGACAUAAUGGGUAGAUGAAAAUAUAGGAAAGUGCCUUUGACAGAGGACAGAAAGUGCAUGAACUAAUAAUAUAUAUUGCUUAUUUCUUCAUGCACCAAACUCUGUUUGAUGAACCUUCAAACACCUAUUUCCACCUACACCUACUUGAACUUCAGCCAUUCUAGCAUUUUGGUUUACUCUGGUUUCAACAUAAAGUCUUUAAGAUUGUGGUCAGUAAUCCAAUAUAUCAGAGUCGUCAAAGGCUGACAGAAAGUGAUGUAUGUUUAAAUAAGACUCCAGCCUAUCCCCAUUGUCUUGAUUUAACCAUGCUCCUGUGUAGUGAUGAACACAUUCCCCUUAAACACAAAAGAUCCCUGGUUCAAUACCAGGACAAGACGCAAACCCAAUAGUAUACUCCCAUUGCUGGUCCCAAGACCAGAAAAAUUGGAGCAUUGCAUCAGGAAGGGAAUUUGGUAUAGAUCAAACUUGCAGAUCCACCACUGUGGCGAUUCCCUCCAGAACUAUGCAACAUCUGUUGUACAGUAGGUGAAAACAACAGUGGUUGCUGGUGCAACUAAUGUCAGUUAGUUGUAAUGGAAAUGUGAAUAGGCUCAGGCUGUACUUGCUGACAAUGACAACACUAUCAUGCUGAUGUGAUGUGAUCCCUCUUAAUUUAUUUUCUUUGUAAGUAUGCUAAACAUGUAAACAUUACACAAUGUAAACAUUAUGUCACAGAGUAACAAAUUACAGAUUCAAAUUUGGACCUGGAGAUGUUAUGAGGAUUCGUUCUAAAGAAAGCAGAUAUAUUUACUGCAAAACUUUAAACCUGUGGGUGCUAAAAGUUGUUAUUAAGUUCAACAGUCGAAGUGAAUGGGCUUAUCUGCAUUCUUGCCUGUGGUCACACGUUCUUGGUGUCAACUGAAAAAAAAGAUCAAGGAUGUAAAAACUCACAGGUUUUCCAAACUAUCAGAACAUUGGAGAUGUCAUCAGAUCUUCCAGAGACAGAUAGAUGCCCUGGUCAUGCCACACAUGACAAGAAGAGCUGCUGCUGCUACCUUGCAAGCCCCAAUCUGAGCAACAAUGACCCUCCUGGGAGUGAUGGAAAACUCACCUGCUGAUGUGACGGUCCAGCUGGAACAUCCACUCGACAAAGGUGUUACUUUCCUGUUGGAACACAGACAGGGAGGAAGCAACUGUUUGCUCCUCCUGUCGUACGCCAGCAUGCCCUGAGCAUGGCAUGAGGCAAACUGUGUGUUAUAACUGCAUGUAUGGUGUGUUUACCUUUAGCUGUGUUUAGUUUUUUCCAUUCCCUGUACAACCAUGGUUGGUGAUCUCUGCCAGGGCUGCCAUUUGUCUCUGAUUCUUUUUAUAACUUUUAGGAUAAUAAUUUCUAGGUGUAGCCAAAGGGUGGAGGGUGGUUUUAGGAUAUGAUCUCUGUUUUUCUCAGAUGAUGUGGUUUUGUUGGUUUUACACUGGGGCAUUUUCCAGCCAAGUGUGAAGUAUAUGGGAUGAGAAUUAGCAUCUCCAAGUCUGAAGCUGUGGUUCUCUGUUGGCAACGAGUGGAGCACUGAUUCAGGGUUUGAAUUGCUGCCCCAAAUGGAGUAGUUUAAGUAAGAGUAGUUUAAAUAAGUAUUACACCUACUGAUGAUGACACUGCGCUGGUUGGUUGUGGUGAAGAGAGAGCUGAGCACGAAUGUGAAUCUGGUGAUUUAACAGUUGAUCUGUGUUCUUGCCCGCCCCUGUGGUCACAGGUUCUGGGUAUCAACUUAAAAGAAAGAUCAAGGAUGCAAGCAGCAGAAAUGAUUUUUCUCUCAAGGGUGUUGGAAAUAGAGGCAUUUGGCCAUUUAGGAGUCACUCAGAGUAGAGCCACUACUUCUCCUCAUCGAAAGGUGUUUUGGGCAUGCAAUGGAGGUCCCAAGUACACGCUGGAGAGAUUAUAUCCCCAAGCUGGCGGGUUGCAUAUUUAUUUCAGUUAUUUUAUAUUUGACUGAUAUAAUCCACGAAUCCAAGACAAAUAGUGUUUAAUUGAAAUUAUUUUUAAAAAUUGUGAUACUUCAAUAGACAAAAGCUAAAUAAGCUGAUAAAUAACAAUGUAGUUUGUAUUUGUAAAUCUGAAAGUAAUAUUACAUAAACUGUGCAAAAAUACUGGCAGAUAAUAAAAAAGCUACUCUUUUUUCUUCUUUAGAUUACAUUAAUUACAUAAGUAAUAAGACUUUAAGAAGAAAUAAGGUUUGCUAUUAUUAUUUUGGUGUUAUAUUUAAUUUCAUACAGUAAAUUGUUCUUGGAUACCUCCAUCGGUCGUCCACGUAUGUUAACUAUGUCAGUAGGAUGAGUGUUAACAAAUUAAAGGUGGGUCUGUGGCUGAGUAGGAACAACCCACACACACCAUACCCUGCUACAUCUUGCAACUUUCUUUUCUUAACUCUUAUUUUGCAUUUUGGCAGCAUAUACAUUUGACUUGCAAAACAGACCUAAUUACAGGGCCUGCAGUAUGCAAGCCACACAUCAAACAUUAAGUUACAGUAGAAGCCUGUGAUCCCAGUCACAUACUCUCUCCCUCUUUUUUUUCUUCUGCCCUCCCUUGCCUCUGCACACCAGAAACACUGAUUGUAACAGGGACAUUAAAGGGGAAUUACAGCGAAACAAUUUACACUUAAUGUAGCAGUCGUAUGAACGGGGAAGAAAGAUGGACAAAGAUAUAGCCGUAUUAAUAAUACAUGUUUUAAUUAAGCAGCUGGGAAUGCAAGGAGCAGGAUCAAGGGAACAGACAGACAAUGAAAGAAGAACUCGAAAGGAGGGAAGCAGUGAGAGAAAGACGGACGAAGAAAAAGAACUGAAAAUGAGAGAGCGAAUGACAGAGAAAGAGUAAAACAAAGCGGAGCAUAAAAAGUAGAGGAGGGAGGAGGAUCGGAAUAUGGUGCUGCGCGUUUCCUGCAAACCGUGAUUCAUGGGCAGUAAAUAUGCAAAGCCUGAUGGCCAUAAGGCAAUCAGAGGAGCGCCACUCAUCUACAUGUUGCACAGUGGGCUAUAAUCCAUCUGAGGGGCAAGGAAUAAUGAUACCAGGAAGCAGGAAUAAGAGCAGGGUCUGUUUAUUACCUCAGACAGAUCCAUAAUGCAUACAGAUGUGAGGGAGGCACACAGCUGCCUCUGGCCAGAGAACUCUAUUGAAAAGUAGAGACAGUAAUAUUGUGUUUAGUGUAAUGAAAGACAAUCUGAUUGAAGCACCUAUUAAGGCAAAUAAGACUGCUGUCGUAUGAGGUUUAAGUGCCGGAGCUGUAACGAUCACUGACAGGGUGGAGAAGAGUUGGGGUGGAUACCAAAGGAGAAGGAGGCACCGAUCCAACACCUCAAAGGCAACAGCAAGGUCACCAAUAAAUAACAUGGGUAAUGCAAUAUGAAUGUGCACUCGUGCAAAGUGAAAUGUAAGGUAAUAAUAUGGUCCAAAUAUGCACAUUUAAGACCUUGCUCGCUGUUAAGAGCAUACCAGCGCAGAUAAAACGUAUGACCGGCAAUAAAGCAGUAAUUUGAAUUCUUUGGUGUCAUUGUGUUUACUUUUCUUUAUUUGCAAAGACACCCGCACAUUCACGCGUACUCUCGAACACAAAGGCCUUCUUUCCCGUCUCCUCACAGAGGACAUUAACACCAGGAUCCUAGUGGUGCUAGAGUAAAGUAAUAAAUUGUGUUGAACAUUGAUAAACUAAUGCAAUUACCUGCAGGGCAAGCCAGUCAGCUAAUUUAAAGAUACCAGGUUUGUUCAUGGGGUGGGAGGCACUGAAUAGGCCCCAAGGGUGAAAGAUGGCGCCUUUAUUACAUCUGAGAGGUCAGCUUGGUAGCAGUGUAUUAGGAUUGAUCUUUUGAUCCCAGCCUGGAACCCACCCCCUCCAAAAAAUGUACCAACCCCAUAUGGCUGAGGAAAAACACAGCUUAUCUGGCGCAAAGGGUUAACUCUGCCAGCCAGGCAGCCUAAUUGAGCGCCACACAUCUCAGCUACACAGCAGAAACAGGAACCUGGAGGGUCGUAACAAGCCAGGCGUGACUUAUUCACAUAAUAAACCAAGCAGAUAUCUAAAUGAGCCAUUGAGCCAGCCAGAGGGAGGGAGGCCAUUAGGCCGCGCGGACCAUGGGUACAUAUUUGUAUAUCUACAAUUGCCCAAUCAUUUGCAUAUGUGGCUGGCUAUAGACAGUGCUCGCACCCAAGGGCCCAAUGACACAACAUAAAAACUUUGUACUCAUUCACAGCAUCAUAAACAAGUCAGAGACUCAUUUGUUUUAUCAAAAAAAAAAGUACACGGAAUUUACAGGAGACAUUAAUUGAGAUAUUUAAAACCAUCCCGGCUGCAAAAUACAAAGACACGGUCUUUGUUGGUCUCUGAAUGGAUAUUAUUUCAGUGAAGCCUUACUUCAUAGAGUGAUGUUUCAUUUAAUCUAGCAGUUAAAUCUAAUCUACCACUCGUGUAACUCUAGUGUUGGUUACCCUCAGAUAAAAGCAGACCUAACCUGUGAGGCUCUCAGUAACUUACUGUAACAUUUCCAUUUCAUUUCAGUUUUUUUUACCAAAACACUUAGCUUCUCGUUAAGACUUAAAAUCACAGUCACAGCUCAGUCCGGCUCUACCUAAAGCCAACAAAAUCCAACAAUUCUGUGAACACCUCAACAGUAAGCUGCUGAAAUGCAUUACCAAUGAGCAAACACAAUGACACUGCAUCCUCAAACAGAGUAUUUCGAUUUUAUAAUAUUAAUGAAUGUUGGGGAUGAAUGAAUAUUUUUUUGUGUAAAAGUACAAAUACUGAUAAUGGUUGGGUGUCAAAGGUAUCAGCAGCAAAAGUGCCCUCAUGUUCUGGUGGACAGCCAUGAACUGAUGACACUGCAUAUAACCAGCAGCUUAGAGCAGCAUAUGAGUAAAUAUUGUCCACACUCCAGUGACAGGUACACACAGGCCUCUCAUUCACUGUGGAAAUAUCUGAGUUCAGCAGUGUUACAGUUUUUUGCAAAGAAGCUGUUUCUUCAUCUGCUGUGAGGGAUGACCUGAAGCCUGCCUGAUAGGAGGAGCACACACAGAUGGUUAUCAGAGUGUGUAAUGCACUUAGGCACUAAAGUGUAGCAGAUGUUAUGUGCCCGACUGUUUCUGUUUUGGGUUGAGUUUUUCUUUUUUUUUUCUCGCUAGUCUCACUGCUAAAUUAAGCUAUCCAGUCCUGAUUGUGACAUCAGAGCCAGACAGUUAUGUUCACACAGUUGUAUUGUGUGGCUUAAAACUGUGAUGGUAACCAAUAAAUGUACAUUUAAUUAAAGCUGUGAUUACAAUUAUU